CAUGAAGCUCAACUGCCACCUCUGCCAAGAAAGCAAGCCUCUCGCUGACGCUCCCAGGAUUGGAGAGUGUUCUUAGGAGAACCAGCCCUUGCCAGGAGACAAGAAUGAUUUAUUUUGAAGACAACAUCUUCACACGUGUGUCCCUGCAUAUCCGGGACCCUGGCUGUGUGUCAGUUUCUUGCUCAGGGAAGCUGUCAUUGGGAUUCUGUGGGGGGAAAUGUUCCAAAUGAAUCAAUUAAUGCUGCCAGCAACAAGUUCAAUACCACUGCACUGAGUGCCCCUGCUUUACAUCAGUGCAUGAAUGAAUUAUUGGUGCUCAUAUAAUUUUCAGAUCAUCGUUAUAAUGCAGUAGAAAAUUUCUUCUGCCCAGGUAGCAUCUAAGCAGAGAGCUGCAAUACCCUUCCCCCCUUAUACUCCCUAAAAUAAUUACUUACACAUAUAUGUGAGGUUUUACUUCCAGAUCUUUUAAUAUAAGACUCUCUAUGUGGACUCAAGGUCACCUCUUACACUCAUUAAACCAAUCUGAACAAAGUGUGAUAAUUCUUAAGGGAAAUCAACGCUGGAAAUGCUUUUGACUUUUUGGAGACAUGGGCAGAAUUCAUCAUCAGAUUGCCAUCUUCCACAUUGUGAAGAGAAUCAGUCAGCCUAUGGAAAGGCCCACAUAGCAAAUAACAAAGACCUGCUGGAAUUCAUGGAAAGGAGUUGAGACUUGGACCUAUUGAGUCUACCAAUGGCUAUGAGGGUGCAGAGGCGGUGCCCUGGGCCAGAGCGUGCCUUCGACAGGAGCUUCGAGUAGCUGGGCGGGAAGAACCGUCUCCGCAGAUACUUGAGAACGUACGGGGCAGACAGCAGUUUAGCGCCGCCUUCAGCCCAAGGUGUGAUCCUGAAGACUUGGGAUCAAGUCCUAUGUCAGGCUCCCUGCAUGGAGCCUGCUUCUCCUUCUCCCUGUGUCUCUGUUUCUGUCUCUCUCUCUCUCUCUUUUUCUCUCUCUCUGUGUCUCUUAUGAAUAAAUAAAUAAAAUCUUAAAAAAAAAAAACCUGGUAUUUGGAGAUGAAACAGUUACAAAGAAAUUAGAGAGUUAAUCCCAUCAUACAUCUUUCAUUUUGUCCUAAACAACUGAGACCAUAUCCAUAUAAGCACAAUUAUAUAUUUUCUAAAAUAUUUUUGUAUUGUAUAUAUUGUUUUAAUAUCAUUUUCGUUCAUUUACAAUCUAUCCUGCAGUUUUUUUUCCUAUCACUAGUUUUCCAUGCCCUAAUUUUUUUAAUAAUAAAUUUAUUUUUUAUUGGUGUUCAAUUUGCCAACAUUCAGAAUAACACCCAGUGCUCAUCCCGUCAAG